AGUUUCUUUGCCUAACUCUGAGUUGCUUGAGUCACAUUUUUGCAUGGUUCUUGAUUGACUUUCUGGUGCUCUGCCUGGAGGUCUUUGCUUAUCUGUGAGUUGCCUGAGUCACAUUUUUACAUGGUUCUGGUGCUCUGCCUGCAGGUCAAGAAGGAGCCAGUAUCUCCAGGAGGAGUGAGAGAGUGCUCUGCCAGUGUGAAGUGUGAAUCCUUGAGAGGCUGUGGCAAGGGUCCAUGCCUGAAUGUGUAGAACAAGAACAGCUGGAGGCUGUGGCUUUCUCCAGGAAGAGGUUUCUAAAUCUGCCUCUUAGAAGAUAUCAGAAAGUUAAAGUUUCUCUUGCUGCCGCCGUGUAAGAAGGACCUUUUGCCUCCCACCAUGAUUCUAAGUCCUCCCCAGCCACGUGGAACUGCUUUCAUUUGGUCUCUUUUCGAAUCAGAAGACCCAGAAAACUUGGAUCCACUUCUGGCUCUCAUCCCUCUGGGCAGUGUGAUUUGGAGUAAAGCAGCUACGGCUUAGAAAGGCUGAGGAACUUGCCUGAGGCUAUCCAGCUACUGAGAGAUAAACUGGGGUGUGAAUUCAGAGAGCUUGACUCCUGAGGCUCCACCUGUGCCUAUAAUUCCAGCAUGACACCUGGUAAUGGGCACUCAGUAUAUGCUUGUUGAUCUAAACUCAGUGUGUGUGUGUGUGUCUGUGUGUGUCUGUGUGUGUGUGUGUGUGUGUGUGUGUGUGUGUGGUCUUCCUCUCACAUCCAAAGCUACUAGCACUGAGGAAGUUGGGCA
rnacentral:lncRNA from 1 species